rnacentral:lncRNA from 1 species
UGGGGUUUGUAUGUCUGUUUUAAUCAGUUUUAUUAAGAUACAAUUUACAUACAAUAAAUUUACCUCUUUUAAAUGUACAAAUUGAUGAGUAUUGACAAAUGUAUAACCAUCUCCACAAAGGCAAUGUAGAAAAUUUUCAUCACCCCUUAAAGUCCUUUUACACUUUUUUUUGAGACUGCCUCAGUAGUAACCACUGCUAAAUUUAUCAGAGAACUGCACACCUGGAUUGUAUUUUGACAGAACUUCCUUCCAACCCAAUUGCUUUUAAUAAUUUUUUUAUGAUAAAUUUUUACCCAAAAUGUUAUAGAAUUUAUUUACAAAGAAAUUUCGUAAGUUGUAUUUCUCCUACUGGUGUGGUAUUAUGCUAAGGAAACAGGUCUGGAGUCAUGAAAUCCUUAGGUGUCUAAUUUUUCUAACCUGUAAGUUUCUGUGCUACUGCAGAUCUCAGUUACUGUCUCUGGUGGUGGGUGUGUGCUGCGGAAGAGUCAGAGGUAAGGCACUAGUCCAUUUCCUUCCAGGACAGUUGAGAAAGAAGGAAAUGAACUCCAGUCAUCACAAAUCCACUGUUGAUGAUUCCUCUGGCCAGGUCUCCCCUUUAAAUCCUUAGGGAGAAGCAACACUGAGAAAAGAUAACUUCUUCUUUUUUUUUUUUUUUUGAGACGGAGCCUUCCUCUGUCGCCCAGGCUGGAGUGCAGUGGCGCGAUCUGGGCUCACUGCAAGCUCCGCCUCCCGGGUUCACACAAUUCUUCUGCCUCAGCCUCCCGAGUAGCUGGGACUACAGGUGCCCGCCACCUCGCCCGGCCAAUGUUUUUGAAUUUUUUAGUAGAGACGGGGUUUCAUCGUGUUAGCCAGGAUGGUCUUGAUCUCCUGACCUUGUGAUCCACCCGCCUCGGCCUCCCAAAGUGCUGGGAUUACAGGCGUGAGCCACCACGCCCGGCCAAAAGACAACUUCUUUAGUUGUAAUCCCCCAUCCCUGAGAGUAGAAGAGGCAGAAGGCCAAAAAGUCGACCACACAUGUUUGCAGCUCCUCAUCCCAGCAAGAUUUCUGUGCUGCCCUGGUGUUACCCUGCAGAUGCCACCUUUUCCCAGUUUUCUACUGGAUUAUUGGUCUUUCUCUUAAUGAUUUGUAAAAGCUCAUAAUAUUAUGAAACUUCAUACAAUAUCUGAGACCUGGGCUCAAAAUACAGUCAUGCUUCACCUAACAGUGGAGGUCACUGUUUGAACAGCAUAGAGUGUACUCACACAAACCUAGAUGGCAUAGCCUGCUACACGCCUAGGGUGUGUGGGAUAGUCUAUUCUUCCUAGGGAUAAACCUGUACAGCAUGCUACUGAACACUAGGCAAUUGUAGCACAAUGGUAAGUAUUUGUGUAUCUAAAUGUGUCUAAACAUAGAAAAGGUACAGUAAAAACACGGUAUUAUAGUUUUUUGGGACCCCAUUUUAUAUUUGGUCCAUGAAUGACUGAAAUGUUAUUAUGCAACACAUCAUGGUGUUUUCUCCCUAGUUAUUCUUUUUUUUUUUUUUUUUUUUUUUUUUUUUUUUGAGAUGGAGUCUUGCUCUGUCGCCCAGGCUGGAAUGCAGUGGCGCGAUCUUGGCUCACUGCAACCUCCACCUCCCAGGUUCAAGCAAUUCUCAUGCCUCAGCCUCCCCAGUAGCAGGGACUACAGGUAUGUGCCACCACACCAACUAAUUUUUGUAUUUUUAGUAGAGACGGGGUUUCACCGUGUUGGACAGGCUGGUCUCAAACUCCCAACCUCAGGUGAUCCACCUGCCCCAUGGGAUUACAGACGUGAGCCACUGCGCCCGGCCCCUAGUUAUUCUUUGGAUUUAGUUUAUGAUUUCUAAAUGUAAUUUUUAAAUGUUUCAUCUAAUUAAAUGAUUUAUCUAAUUAAAUUUAACAAUCCUUUAUGUUUUCUGGGUUGUGAGUCAUACCUAUAAAAGUCCUCCCCACUUCAAGAUUAUUUUUAAAUAACAUAAAAUUUUUUACCAUUUUAACCAAUUUUAGGUGUGUAAUUCAAUGGUAUUAAAAACAUUCAUUCAUAUUGCCGGGCGCAAUAGCUCAUGCCUGUAAUCCCAGCACUUUGGGAGGCCAAGGCAGGCCAAUCAUUUGAGGUCAGGAGUUUGAGACCAGCCUGGCCAACAUGGUGAAACCUCAUCUUUACUAAAAAUACAAAAAUUAGCUGGGCAUGGUGGUGGGUGCCUGUAAUCCCAGCUACUUGGGAGGCUGAGGCACAAGAAUCGCUUGAACCCGGGAGGCAGAGGUUGCAGUGAGCCGAAAUCGUGCCCCUGCACUCCAGCCUGGGCAACAGAGAGAGACUCUGUCUCAAAAAACAACAACAACAAAACUCAUAUUAUUGUGCAACCAUCACCACCUUCCAUCUUUUUUCCAGAACUUUUUUGUCUUUCCAAACUGAAACGCUGUAUCUGUUAGCCAGUCACUCCUCGUUGUCCCCUGCCCCCAUCCCCCAGGAACCACCAUUCUAUUUGCUUCACUACAUUUUGCUUGUCUUCUUUAAGAUCCAUCCUUGUCUCCCCUAUAGCUUAAUAACCAGGGUCGGGUCUCAGUAGAGCCUGACAGGGUAAAGGCAGUUCCUGAUGUGAGUGGCAAUUGCUGAGCCACACAAAGACUGCAGCAUCUGCGGACGCACUCUUCCAGGAGCCAGAGGAGCCCACAGCAGCGUGGGUCUGAGCGUGCUGAGGUGGUGAGCGUGGAUAUAAGACUAGAUCAGGAAAUGGAGGGCCAGGCGAGGUGGCUCACGCCUGUAAUCCCAGCACUUUGGGAGUCCGAGGUGGGCGGAUCACUUGAGGUCAGGAGUUGAAGACCAGCCUGGCCAACAUGGCAAAACCCUGUCUCUACUACAAAAUACAAAAAUUAGCCGGGCAUGGUGGCACACGCCUAUAAUGCCAGCUACUUGAGAGGCUGAGGCAGGAGAAUCGCUUUAAUCCGGGAGGCGGAGGUUGCAGUGAGCCAAGGUCGUACCAUGGCACUCCAACCUGGGCGACAGAGCCAGACUCCGUCUCCAAAACAAAGGAAAUGGAGGUUUAGUGUCAUGUCAAGGACACCUGGAACUGGCCCUAAACAUGCAUGAUGGGUCUCCUUGAAGCUUGGAUCCCACAGGACUCUACAGCUGAGUGGUCCAAUACAGGAUCCACAGCAAACCAGAGGCAAUGCUACAUUCUGAGGGAAAUAGGGUAGUUGUACUUGUUAAAAUGAUAGGAUUUUGGAUAUGCUGGGUUAAAUAAAAUAUAUUAUUCCAAUUCAUUUCACCUGUUUCUCUUCUUUUCUCUCUUUCCUUCCUUCCUUCCUUUUCCUUUUUCUUUUCUUUUCUUCUUUUCUCUUUUCUUUUCUUAACACAGGGUCUCACUCUGUUGCCCAGGCUGGAGUGCUGUGGUGCGAUCUUGGCUCACUGCAACCUCUGCCUACCAGAUUUAAGCGAUUCUCAUGCCUCAGCCUCCUAAGUAGAUGGAAUUACAAGUGCCCGCCACUGUGCCCAGCUAAUUUUUUUGUAUUUUUAGUACAGACGGGGUUUCACCAUGUUGGCCAAGCUGGUCUUGAACUCCUGACCUGAAGUGAUCCACCCACCUUGGCCUCCCAAAGUGCUGGGAUUAUAGGCGUGAGCCACCGUGCCCGGCCAUCUUUUCAUUUUUUUAUUGUGUCUACUAGAAAGAGUGACAAGUGCCCAUGUGGCUGACAUUAUAUUUCUAUUGGACAGUGCUGACCAGUGGAAAAGAUCAUGGAGAUGCCAGACAGGUGUGAGCAGAAUAUUGAAGAGUCAGAAGGCUCAGAGAAGGAUGCAUGUUCGGAUGAAUUUAUUCUUGGAGACCCUUUAUUUACUAAAGCGAUUCAGGGCCGGGCACGGUGGCUCAGGCUUGUAGUUCCAGCACUUUGGGAGGCCGAGGCAGGCAGAUCAUCUGAGGUCAGGAGUUCAAGACCAGCCUGGCCACCAUAGUGAAACCCCAUCUCUACUAAAAAUACAAAAAUUAGCUGGGCGUGGUAGCGGGCACCUGUAAUCCCAGCUACUCGGGAGGUCGAGGCAUGAGAAUCGCUUGAACUGGGAAGAUGGAGAUUGAAGUGAGCCAAGAUCGCGCUACUGAACUCCAGCCUGGGCAACAGAGUGAGACUCCAUCUCAAAAAAAAAAAGAGAGAGACAAGAGAGAAUAUAAAAGGCCACGUGAAGACAGAGGCAGAAGUUGAAGGGAGGCAACCACAAGCAAUGUCUGGAGCCCCAGAAGCUGGAAGAGGCAAGGAGGGUCCUCCCCACAACUUUUGGAGGGAGCAUGGCUCUACAGAAAUGGUUGCUCUAAGCCACCAACUUGUGGUCAUUUGUGGCAGCAGCCCUAGGGGACUAAAACAUUCUCCCUCCCCCACAACUCAACUCUGUGGGCUCUCUCCCUGGCAGCACAUCAAGGCACACCUUUGGCAUUAGCUAAAUCUGGAGGGCUAGCUAAAUCAUGAACAUCAAUGAAUAUCAAUAUCUUUUUUUUUUUUUUUUUUUUUUUUGAGAUGAAGUCUUGCUCUUGUCGCCCAGGCUGUAGUGCAGUGGCACGAUCUUGGCUCACUGCAACCUCUGCCUCCCGGGCUCAAGUGAUUCUCCUGCCUCAGCCUCCCGAGUAGCUGGGACUACACACACACACCACCACACCUGGCUAAUUUUUGUAUUUUUAGUAGAGAUGGGGUUUUUGCCAUGUUGGCCAGGCUGGUCUCGAACUCCUGACCUCAAGUAAUCCACCUGCCUCAGCCUCAAGUUUGCUUUUUGUUCAUGGAAAUCAGCUUCAUAAAAAGCAUCUUACCCUGAGAUGUAGUUUGUUUCUGUAAAUUUCAGAAGUUGAGUUCAGAAUAGACAUAUCCAGAUUUAUAAGAAUCACAGGCUUCUGAAAUAUAAAAGGGAAAAUAAUUUACUUAGGAUAUGUGACCAGCAAGGCUGUUUUUAAAAAUCCUAUUUCUAGUAGCUGGGUGGCCUGACAGAACCAGGUAUUAACUAAUUUUUUCCUGGACUGUGUUAAAUAAUUUAUUCUUGAAAAUGUUAGCUGGGCAUAAUGCCUCAUGCCUGUAAUCCCAACACUUUGGGAGGCCGAGGCAGGAAGAUUGGUUGAGCCCAGGAGUUCAAGACCAGCUUGGGCAAUAUAGCAAGAUACUUGUCUCUAUCCAAAAAAAAAAAAAAAAUUAGUCAGACAUGGUGGUGCACACCUGUAGUCCCAGCUACUCAGGAGGCUAAGGUGGGACGACUGCUUCAGCCCAAGAGGUAGAGGGUGCAGUGAGCUGAGAUUGUGCCACUGCACUCUAGCCUGGGCAACAGAGUGAGAGUCUCAAAAAAAAGGAGAAAGGCAGGAAAGAAAGAAAAGAAAGAGAAAAAGAAAGAGAGAGAGAGAGAAAGAAAAGAAAGAAAGAAGAAAGAAAGAAAGAAAGAAAGAGAAAGAAAGAAAAAGAAAAAAUAAAGAGAGACAGAAAGAGAAAGAAAGAAAGAGAGAGAGGGAGGGAGGGAGAGAGGGAAGGAAGGAAGGAAGGAAAUGUUUGAGUAGUGAUCCUGUAUCCUCCUCUCUGGGUUUUUUUUCUAUGACAUUCCCCCACCACAUCUUUCCCUCUUCCUCACCCUCCAUCUCCUGAUGAGAUUUUUUUAGGAGCUGGGGUGCUGGUUGCCAUUGGUUCCUUGCAGUGUGCCUGCAUUGCUCCCAUCCACCCCAUUAACGGGCUCCUGAA